UACGUAGGGACCAAGCGUUGUUCGGAUUUACUGGGCGUAAAGGGCGCGUAGGCGGCGCGGUAAGUCACUUGUGAAAUCUCUGAGCUUAACUCAGAACGGCCAAGUGAUACUGCAGUGCUAGAGUGUGGAAGGGGCAAUCGGAAUUCUUGGUGUAGCGGUGAAAUGCGUAGAUAUCAAGAGGAACACCAGAGGUGAAGGCGGGUUGCUGGGCCAACACUGACGCUGAGGCGCGAAAGCCAGGGGAGCAAACGGG
rnacentral:rRNA from 1 species